AUACGAAGGGUGCAAGCGUUACUCGGAAUUACUGGGCGUAAAGCGUGCGUAGGUGGUUGUUUAAGUCUGUCGUGAAAGCCCUGGGCUCAACCUGGGAAUGGCGAUGGAAACUGGGCGACUAGAGUGAGGCAGAGGGUAGUGGGAUUCCUGGUGUAGCAGUGAAAUGCGUAGAGAUCAGGAGGAACAUCCGUGGCGAAGGCGACUGCCUGGGCCAACACUGACACUGAGGCACGAAAGCGUGGGGAGCAAACAGGAUUAGAUACCCUGGUAGUCCACGCCCUAAACGAUGCGAACUGGAUGUUGGGUGCAAUUUGGCACGCAGUAUCGAAGCUAACGCGUUAAGUUCGCCGCCUGGGGAGUACGGUCGCAAGACUGAAACUCAAAGGAAUUGACGGGG
rnacentral:rRNA from 1 species